GUGGACGCCACUUCUUAAUGUCGGGGGUCUUCGCGGCGCUCACCUCGGCUCCUAGGGUUCGGGACGGUACGCACCAGCCACCUUCGCGCCGAAGGCGGUAGGGCGCCACGGAGAGGAACCGCUCUAGGCACGUAAGGCCUCGUGAGGUUGCGUCGCGCGCGGAGCACUCUGGGACUUGUAGUUCUGGAGAUGGAGCGAGCUGUGCCGCUCGCGGUGCCUCUGGGUCAGACAGAGGUGUUCCAGGCCUUGCAGCGGCUCCAUAUGACCAUCUUCUCCCAGAGCGUCUCACCAUGUGGGAAGUUUCUGGCGGCUGGCAACAAUUACGGGCAGAUUGCCAUCUUCAGCUUGUCCGCUGCUUUGAGCUCAGAAGCCAAAGAGGAAAGUAAGAAGCCGGUGGUGACUUUCCAAGGUGGGUAUAGCUGUGGAGUCUGGCUUCGGGACUUUGGGUGGGAUUGACUCACUCAGUUCUGCAUUUCUCUUUAGCCCAUGAUGGGCCCGUCUAUAGCAUGGUUUCCACCGAUCGACAUCUGCUUAGUGCUGGGGAUGGGGAGGUGAAGGCCUGGCUUUGGGCGGAGAUGCUCAAGAAGGGCUGUAAGGAGCUGUGGCGUCGUCAGCCUCCAUACAGGUGAGCAGGGCCACGUGGAUAGAGGGUGCAUCAGGGUGAAGCCACUUCCUCACUGACCUUGCC
rnacentral:sRNA from 1 species